CACCAUCAACUUUGGCUUUCAUCCAGCCACUCGCUUCAUCAGCAUUUCCCAAAUCUGGUUGGGCCCAGCUACCACAUGCAGUACCUCCCCAAGUGUCCACUUUGUUCUGAGCUUUCUCAUCCUUAUUCCAGGGGUCCGUACCUGUCCUGGAUCUUUUACCCCAAGAAUCAUGAACAGUAUCUUUAUUUAGGGCUUCUGCAGUACUUCCCCAGUUGUCCUUGUUCUGAGAUUUUUGUUGAUUCCACCCAGUAGCAUUGUUACAGUGGUCGUCACCUGCACUGGAGCUUUUACUGUUCCAUGAUCCUGAUUGUACUACAUCCUUACUGCUGCCCAAAGAGUCCAGCUGAUUCUUCUUAGUGGCAAUGUCUCCCCAGCUGGUGGUUGGAUUUCCAAUAACAGUCUUUCCGUUGUCCCAAGCUGUUGCAGCAUCAGUUGUAGAAUUUCCAUCAUAAAGUUUUGAUUGACCCCAGCCAUCUCCAGAAUCUCUUGAAGCACAUGCAGGAUUUUCACUGGGUAAAGUUGCUUUACCCCAGCCAACAGAUGCACCACUGCUAGAA
rnacentral:misc_RNA from 1 species